rnacentral:rRNA from 1 species
AGCGAACGCUGGCGGCAGGCCUAACACAUGCAAGUCGAACGGACCUUUCGGGGUUAGUGGCGGACGGGUGAGUAACACGUGGGAACGUGCCUUUUGGUUCGGAAUAGCUCCUGGAAACGGGUGGUAAUGCCGAAUGUGCCCUUUGGGGGAAAGAUUUAUCGCCAUUAGAGCGGCCCGCGUCUGAUUAGCUAGUUGGUGAGGUAAAGGCUCACCAAGGCGACGAUCAGUAGCUGGUCUGAGAGGAUGACCAGCCACAUUGGGACUGAGACACGGCCCAAACUCCUACGGGAGGCAGCAGUGGGGAAUUUUGCGCAAUGGGCGAAAGCCUGACGCAGCCAUGCCGCGUGAAUGAUGAAGGUCUUAGGAUUGUAAAAUUCUUUCACCGGGGACGAUAAUGACGGUACCCGGAGAAGAAGCCCCGGCUAACUUCGUGCCAGCCGCCGCGGUAAUAC